rnacentral:rRNA from 1 species
UACGUAGGGACCGAGCGUUGUCCGGAAUCAUUGGGCGUAAAGAGCGUGUAGGCGGCUAUUUAAGUCCUGCGUGAAAUCCUGCGGCUCAACCGCAGACGGUCGUGGGAAACUGGAUGGCUAGAGUGCGGGAGAGGAGAGUGGAAUUCCGGGUGUAGCGGUGGAAUGCGUAGAGAUCCGGAAGAACACCGGUGGCGAAGGCGGCCUGCUGGGCUAUGGCUGACACUGAGGCGCGACAGCGUGGGGAGCAAACAGG